CAUACCUAUUCGAAGGGAUAGGGUCGGUUUGGCCGGAUUUCACACAGGUGUUGCAUGGCUGUCGUCAGCUCGUGUCGUGAGAUGUUGGGUUAAGUCCCGCAACGAGCGCAACCCUCAUCCUUAGUUACCAUCAGGUUAUGCUGGGGACUUUAAGGAAACUGCCAGUGAUAAACUGGAGGAAGGUGGGGAUGAUGUCAAGUCAUCAUGGCCCCUAUGGAGUGGGCUACACACGUGCUACAAUGGCGAUUACAAUGGGCUGCAAGGUCGCAAGGCUGAGCUAAUCCUAAAAAAUCAUCUCAGUUCGGAUUGUUCUCUGCAACUCGAGAGCAUGAAGUUGGAAUCGCUAGUAAUCGUGGAUCAGCAUGCCACGGUGAAUACGUUCUCGGGUCUUGUACACACUGCCCGUCACGCCAUGGGAAUUGGUUUCACUCGAAGCU
rnacentral:rRNA from 1 species